rnacentral:rRNA from 1 species
CCUACGGGGGGCAGCAGUGGGGAAUUUUGGACAAUGGGGGCAACCCUGAUCCAGCCAUUCCGCGUGAGUGAAGAAGGCCUUCGGGUUGUAAAGCUCUUUUGUCCGGAGCGAAACGGGCGGCCCUAAUACGGUCGUCUACUGACGGUACCGGAAGAAUAAGCACCGGCUAACUACGUGCCAGCAGCCGCGGUAAUACGUAGGGUGCGAGCGGGAAUCGAAGUGACCGGGCGUAAAGCGUGCGGCGACAGUUGAAAUCCCCGGGCUCAACCUGGGAAUGGCAUUUGGGACUGCAAGGCUGGAGUGUGGCAGAGGGGACUAGAAUUCCUGGUGUAGCAGUGAAAUGCGUAGAUAUCAGGAGGAAUACCGAUGGCGAAGGCAGGUCCCUGGGUUAACACUGACGCUCAUGCACGAAAGCGUGGGGAGCAAACAGGAUUAGAUACCCCAGUAGUC